CUUUCCAGUGGUUUAGUUGGUAGAGUAUUGUGCCAACAAUGCAAAGGUCGUGAGUUCAAAUCCCAAGGAAAGA